AGACGUGGGUGGCAAACGUUACCCGGAUUUACUGGGCGUAAAGUGCGCGUAGGCGGCUCGGUAAGUUGGGCGUGAAAGCUCCCGGCUCAACCGGGAGAGGACGCUCAAGACUGCCGGGCUUGAGGGCGGUAGAGGGAGGCGGAAUUCCCGGUGUAGCGGUGAAAUGCGUAGAUAUUGGGAGGAACGCCAGUGGGGAAGCCGGCCUCCUGGGCCGACCCUGACGCUGAGGCGCGAAAGCCAGGGGAGCGAACCGGAUUAGAAACCCUAGUAGUCC
rnacentral:rRNA from 1 species